rnacentral:rRNA from 1 species
GACGAACGCUUGCGGCAUGCCUGAGAAAUGCAAGUCGAGCGGGAGUGAGGGAGCAAUCCUUCACUUUAGCGGCGAACGGUCGAGUAACACGUAAGCAACCUGCCCGGAAGCGGGGGACAAGCCGGAGAAAUCCGGGGUAAUACCGCAUAACUUGGGGGGAGACAUCUUUCUUCAAGAAAGGAUGGAGCGCAAGCUUCAUUCACUUUCGGAGGGGCUUGCGGCCUAUCAGCUAGUUGGCGGGGUAACGGCUCACCAAGGCGACGACGGGUAGCUGGUC